rnacentral:rRNA from 1 species
GUGGGGAAUUUUGGACAAUGGGCGCAAGCCUGAUCCAGCAAUGCCGCGUGCAGGAAGAAGGCCUUCGGGUUGUAAACUGCUUUUGUACGGAACGAAACGGCUCUGGUUAAUACCCGGGGCUAAUGACGGUACCGUAAGAAUAAGCACCGGCUAACUACGUGCCAGCAGCCGCGGUAAUACGUAGGGUGCAAGCGUUAAUCGGAAUUACUGGGCGUAAAGCGUGCGCAGGCGGUUUUGUAAGACAGGCGUGAAAGCCCCGGGCUCAAACUGGGAAUGGCGCUUGUGACUGCAAAGCUGGAGUGCGGCAGAGGGGGAUGGAAUUCCGCGUGUAGCAGUGAAAUGCGUAGGUAUGCGGAGGAACACCGAUGGCGAAGGCAAUCCCCUGGGCCUGCACUGACGCUCAUGCACGAAAGCGUGGGGAGCAAACAGGAUUAGAUACCCUUGUAGUCC